CGAGCGGACCCCGUGCAGAACCAGCAAAAUGCAGGCUCCCCUGGCGCUCCUCGGCUCCCCGGCGCUGUUCCGCUGCUGCUCCCGGGCCCUGGCCAGGCCCGUGUCCGUGGCUGUGUUCAGCAGGCCUGAGGCUCAGACUGCACAGGUGAGCCUGGGGAUGGGCUUUG